AACGAACGCUGGCGGCAGGCUUAACACAUGCAAGUCGAACGGACCCUUCGGGAUUAGUGGCAGACGGGUGAGUAACGCGUGGGAACGUACCCUUUGCUUCGGAAUAACUCAGGGAAACUUGUGCUAAUACCGUAUGUGCCCUUCGGGGGAAAGAUUUAUCGGCAAUGGAUCGGCCCGCGUUGGAUUAGCUAGUUGGUGGGGUAAAGGCCUACCAAGGCGACGAUCCAUAGCUGGUCUGAGAGGAUGAUCAGCCACACUGGGACUGAGACACGGCCCAGACUCCUACGGGAGGCAGCAGUGGGGAAUAUUGGACAAUGGGCGAAAGCCUGAUCCAGCCAUGCCGCGUGAGUGAUGAAGGUCUUAGGAUUGUAAAGCUCUUUCACCGGUGAAGAUAAUGACGGUAGCCGGAGAAGAAGCCCCGGCUAACUUCGUG
rnacentral:rRNA from 1 species